rnacentral:rRNA from 1 species
UACAGAGGGUGCAAGCGUUAAUCGGAAUUACUGGGCGUAAAGCGUGCGUAGACGGUUGCGUAAGUCAGAUGUGAAAGCCCCGGGCUCAACCUGGGAAUUGCGAUGAAGACUGCAAGGCUUGAAUCUGGCAGAGGGGGGUAGAAGUUCCACGUGUAGCAGUGAAAUGCGUAGAGAUGUGGAGGAACACCGAUGGCGAAGGCAGCCCCCUGGGUCAAGAUUGACGCUCAGGCACGAAAGCGUGGGGAGCAAACAGG